UACGUAGGUCCCGAGCGUUGUCCGGAUUUAUUGGGCGUAAAGCGAGCGCAGGUGGUUUAUUAAGUCUGGUGUAAAAGGCAGUGGCUCAACCAUUGUAUGCAUUGGAAACUGGUAGACUUGAGUGCAGGAGAGGAGAGUGGAGUUCCAUGUGUAGCGGUGAAAUGCGUAGAUAUAUGGAGGAACACCGGUGGCGAAAGCGGCUCUCUGGCCUGUAACUGACACUGAGGCUCGAAAGCGUGGGGAGCAAACAGG
rnacentral:rRNA from 1 species